GAGCUAUAUGUAAAAUGAGAAUAAGUGCUCAUGAUCUUAGAAUUGAGAAAGAUAGAUAUAGUAAAAAAUAUAUAGAGAGAACUCAACGUCUAUGUCAUCACUGCUUAUCACAUGGAUCAAAUUCUAUUGAAGAUGAGACCCAUUUUACAGUAAAUUGUCCAUUAUAUAAUGAACAGAGGAAAUUAUUAUUUGAUAAAGUUAUCACUUUUUGUACUAAUUUUAAAGAACUACCUAAUGAUAAGAAAUAUUUCUGGCUGUUCACAAAUGAGCAUUUACCUACUCUCAUGUGCCUAGGAAAUUACAUUAUUAAAGGUUUAGAAAUAAGAUCCAGAUGUAAACAAAAUAUAUGAAAUAAUAUAAUAUUUUAUUGUUAUAACAUUUAAUAUAAUAGUUAUAUAAAACACAUGUUGUGUUAGGCUCUGAUCCUGUCCAUAACGUUAUAGUAUGGUAUUAGUUUUCUGUUUUGCUUUUUCCAAUCAUAUUGUGUUGUAAAAUGAUGCCCUUUAU
rnacentral:lncRNA from 1 species